GACGAACGCUGGCGGCGUGCCUAAUACAUGCAAGUCGAACGCAGUGGGGACGGGUGAGUAAAACGUGGGUAACCUCCCAUCAGAGGGGAUAAAACUUGGAAACAGGUGCUAAACCGAUACUGAUGGAUGGACCCGCGGGGCAUUAGCUAGUGGGUGUGGUAACGGCGCACCAAGGCCACGAUGCCAAGCAGACCUGAGAGGGGGACCGGCCACACUGGGACUGAGACACGGCCCAGACUCCUACGGGAGGCAGCAGUAGGGAAUCUUCGGCAAUGGACGAAAGUCUGACCGAGCAACGCCGCGUGAGUGAAGAAGGUUUUCGGAUUGUAAAACUCUGUUGUUAGGGAAGCGGUAUCUAAACAGAAAGCCCCGGCUAACUACGUGCCAGCAGCCGCGGUAAUAC
rnacentral:rRNA from 1 species